GAUGAACGCUGGCGGCGUGCCUAAUACAUGCAAGUCGAACGCUUCACUUCGGUGAAGAGUGGCGAACGGGGGAGUAAUACAUAAGUAACCUGGCAUCUACAGGGGGAUAACUGAUGGAAACGUCAGCUAAGACCGCAUAGGUGUAGAGAUCGCAUGAACUCUAUAUGAAAAGUGCUACGGGACUGGUAGAUGAUGGACUUAUGGCGCAUUAGCUUGUUGGUAGGGUAACGGCCUACCAAGGCGACGAUGCGUAGCCGACCUGAGAGGGUGACCGGCCACACUGGGACUGAGACACGGCCCAGACUCCUACGGGAGGCAGCAGUAGGGAAUUUUCGGCAAUGGGGGGAACCCUGACCGAGCAACGCCGCGUGAAGGAAGAAGUAAUUCGUUAUGUAAACUUCUGUCAUAGAGGAAGAACGGUGGAUAUAGGGAAUGAUAUCCAAGUGACGGUACUCUAUAAGAAAGCCACGGCUAACUACGUG
rnacentral:rRNA from 1 species